rnacentral:rRNA from 1 species
AGCGAACGCUGGCGGCAGGCCUAACACAUGCAAGUCGAACGAACCUUUCGGGGUUAGUGGCGGACGGGUGGGUAACCCGGUGGGACAUUCCUUUAGGUCCGGAAUAACUUAGGGGAUCUUGUGCUAAUACCGACUGUGCUCUUCGGGGCGAAGAUUGAUCGUCUUUAGAGCGGCCCGCGACUGCUUAGCUAGUUGGUUGAGGUAAUGGCUCACCAAGGCUACGAGCAGUAGCUGGUCCGAGAGGAUGAGCAGCCACAUUGGGACUGAGACACGGCCCAGACUCCUACGGGAGGCAGCAGUGGGGAAUCUUGCGAAAUGGGCGAAAGCCUGACGCAGCCAGGCCGGGUGAAUGAUGAAGGUCUUAGGAUUGUAAAAUUCUUUCACCGGGGACGAUAAUGACGGUACCCGGAGAAGAAGCCCCGGCUAACUUCGUG